rnacentral:rRNA from 1 species
GUGGGGAAUAUUCCGCAAUGGACGAAAGUCUGACGGAGCAACGCCGCGUGAGUGAUGAAGGUUUUCGGACUGUAAAGCUCUGUUGUUUAGGACGAAAGUGCCUGUUGCGAACAGUUACAGGUAUUGACGGUACUAAACGAGGAAGCCACGGCUAACUACGUGCCAGCAGCCGCGGUAAUACGUAGGUGGCAAGCGUUGUCCGGAAUUAUUGGGCGUAAAGAGCAUGUAGGCGGAGAUUUAAGUCUGUUGUGAAAAUGCGGGGCUCAACCCCGUAUUGCGAUGGAAACUGAAGUUCUGGAGUGCAGGAGAGGAAAGGGGAAUUCCCAGUGUAGCGGUGAAAUGCGUAGAUAUUGGGAGGAACACCAGUGGCGAAGGCGCCUUUCUGGACUGUGUCUGACGCUGAGAUGCGAAAGCCAGGGUAGCGAACGGGAUUAGAAACCCGAGUAGUCC